GAUGAACGCUGGCGGCGUGCCUAAUACAUGCAAGUAGAACGCUGAAGGAAGGAGCUUGCUCUUUCCGGAUGAGUUGCGAACGGGUGAGUAACGCGUAGGUAACCUGCCUGGUAGCGGGGGAUAACUAUUGGAAACGAUAUCUAAUACCGCAUAACAGUAGAUGUUGCAUGAUAUCUACUUAAAAGGUGCAAUUGCACCACUACCAGAUGGACCUGCGUUGUAUUAGCUAGUUGGUGAGGUAACGGCUCACCAAGGCGAAGAUACAUAGCCGACCUGAGAGGGUGAUCCACCAACAUGGGAACGGAGAACCGCUCCGAACUCGUAGGGAGGGAGCAGGAGGGGAGCAUCGGAAAUGGACGGAAGUCCGAACGAGGACAGGCGCGGGAGUGAAGAAGGUUCUCCGAUCGUAAAGCUCUGUUGUGUGAGAAGAAAGAGCGUGAGAGUGGAAAGUUCAUGCUGUGACGGUACCUUAAGAGAAAGCACCGGCUAACUACGUG
rnacentral:rRNA from 1 species